AAUUAGUAUUGGAUUCAUUAGUAAUCUAUUGUUAAAACCUUCUAGCGAUGGGAGUUUUGGCAAUGAAUAAUUGCUAAUUCAUUAGACAAUGUGUUAAUGACAGAUUUUAAUACAUCAUUAAAAAUAUAAAUCAGUGACUAAUCCAUCAUUAAUCAAUAUUAUUAGCCAUAAAAUUUUAAUUUGUCGCUAAAUAUCAUCUUUUCUUGUAUUAAUUGUUCAACCCCAUGUAGGAAAGCUCUCGAAUUAUUUUUCUAUUUCAAAUUUUUAAUCUUGAAGAGGA
rnacentral:misc_RNA from 1 species